rnacentral:rRNA from 1 species
UCCUGGCUCAGAACGAACGCUGCGGCAGCUUAACACAUGCANUCGACACACUNUCGAGUGAGUGGCAACGGGAGUACGCGUGGACGACUUUCGGUUCGGAUACCCAGGAAACUUGGGUAAUACCGAAUGCGCCCUUACGGGGAAAGAUUUAUCGCCGAAAGAUCGGCCCGCGUCGGAUUAGCUAGUUGGGUGGGGUAAUGGCUUACCAAGGCGACGAUCCGUAGCUGGUCUGAGAGGAUGAUCAGCCACACUGGGACUGAGACACGGCCCAGACUCNUACGGGAGGCAGCAGUGGGGAAUAUUGGACAAUGGGCGAAAGCCUGGAUCCAGCCAUGCCGCGUGAGUGAAGAAGGCCUUAGGGUUGUAAAGCUCUUUCAGCGGGGACGAUAAUGACGGUACCCGCAGAAGAAGCCCCGGCUAACUUCGUGCCAGCAGCCGCGGUAAUACGAAGGGGGCUAGCGUUGUUCGGAAUUACUGGGCGUAAAGCGCGCGUAGGCGGACAAUUAAGUCAGAGGUGAAAUCCCAGGGCUCAACCCUGGAACUGCCUUUGAUACUGAAUGUCUGGAGUUCGGGAGAGGCGAGUGGAAUUCCGAGUGUAGAGGUGAAAUUCGUAGAUAUUCGGAGGGAACACCAGAAGCGAAGGCGGCUCACUGGCCCGAUACUGACGCUGAGGCGCGAAAGCGUGGGGAGCAAACAGGAUUAGAUACCCUGGUAGUC